CAAAGGCUCCAAUCAACUGAAAGCCUCAGAAGACUCAUUCCAAACUGAGAGGGCAAAUGUGUUGCUGCCACCACUGCCAGCCAUGACUGCUGCACAACGUGCACCAAAUUUGACCAUGAUGACCCAAAAGAGACCCAGAGCUGUGACUGACAACCUGGAGCUGCCUGCCGUGGAUAACCCUGCCAGGAAGCAGGAUGGAUUCUUAGCCAAGCACAGGAAAGUGGAGGAAGACCCCGAGGAGAAAUCCCAGGCCAUCACCAUUGGUAUCCAGGAGAGCUGGUGGGAGUAUUCCUGCAACCCAGGUGUGCUGUGUGAUGCACUGCAGAAACAUCCUCUCAGAUAAGUGACCAUUUCUGACUGUAGGCGACUGCAACUAAAAGGAGUGUGUGUAUAAAAAGGAGUGUGUUUAUAAAAAGAAAAGGACUGCAGCCUGGGCCUUCGAUUUUAUAUCAUGUAGAGAAAAUUAUUGCAUUUAUAGGUUAAAAAUUAGAUUUUCCUGGCUGUUUAUAAAAAAUUUGGCAGUUUAAUGAUGGCUCGGGGUGUGGGGUCUAUGAUAUUUGGGGGUGAGGGAGUAUGUGUCAGUGUUCUAUCUUAGGCCAGACUGUGCACAGUGCAUUAGCUGCCUUCUAACUGCUUGCUUUUUCCUGAUCAUUUUCCUGCUUCCAGCCCUCACUGCACUCCCAGCUAUUGAGCAAGAAAAUCUGCUGCUGAAUUUCUCUGUGCUUGGGAAAAGUUGAAUGGUGCAAAGCAUUGUGAGCUGCCAGUGGUUUUUCAGGGAUCUGCAGGGCAUGAGAAGAAUCCUUUUCCAGUGACUUCUGUGCCACAUGAAGCCAAGACAAGAACACCUGAAGUUAGGACAAGUUUGCUGCUGAACAAAGCCCAGUGAGGGGACCAAGAACGAGCCUGACCUCAUCCAUGGAAUGAGUCAGAAUUUACAGUGACCCAGACUGGAACCAAGUGCCUUAACUGGGUCUCCAGGAUGUAAAUAGUUCCAAGUUCUCUAAUCUAUCGAAACCUUACAAACACUUUUGUUUUAUUUAUUGUUCAAUGCAAAACACCUGCUUUUUUGUUUGUUUGUUUGUUUUGUUUUGUUUUGUUUUAAAUACAGUUGUAUGUUCUUUUGGUUACUUUUGGAAAUCCUUGUGGUUUUUGAGGGUAAUGCUUUUCUAUCUUGCAAAAGAAGGGAUGGGCUGUGGUAUCAGCCAUUAAGAUAAAACUGUGGAGAGAAGGAUGGUGUAAUAUUCACUAUAAAAUAACUGGUGGUUAAUGAAAUAAAAUAAAAAACCCCACAGCGUUAUGUGUACUAAAACCAGUGGCCAAAAAGGCAGUGAACAGACUAAAUGAUAGAGAUUCAAACA